GCCGCCUUCAUCUAGUGGCCUAGGAUACCAGAUUCUCAAUCUGGGCACACCGGUUCAAAUCCGGUAGGCGGCGCCA
rnacentral:tRNA from 1 species